GAUGAACGCUGGCGGCGUGCCUAAUACAUGCAAGUCGAGCGAAUGGAUUAAGAGCUUGCUCUUAUGAAGUUAGCGGCGGACGGGUGAGUAACACGUGGGUAACCUGCCCAUAAGACUGGGAUAACUCCGGGAAACCGGGGCUAAUACCGGAUAACAUUUUGAACCGCGUGGUUCGAAAUUGAAAGGCGGCUUCGGCUGUCACUUAUGGAUGGACCCGCGUCGCAUUAGCUAGUUGGUGAGGUAACGGCUCACCAAGGCAACGAUGCGUAGCCGACCUGAGAGGGUGAGCGGCCACACUGGGACUGAGACACGGCCCAGACUCCUGCGGGAGGUAGCAGUAGGGAAUCUUCCGCAAUGGACGAAAGUCUGACGGAGCAACGCCGCGUGAGUGAUGAAGGCUUUCGGGUCGUAAAACUCUGUUGUUAGGGAAGAACAAGUGCUAGUUGAAUAAGCUGGCACCUUGACGGUACCUAACCAGAAAGCCACGGCUAACUACGUGCCAGCCGCCGCAGUAA
rnacentral:rRNA from 1 species